rnacentral:rRNA from 2 species
UGGGGAAUAUUGCGCAAUGGGGGAAACCCUGACGCAGCCAUGCCGCGUGAGUGAAGAAGGUCUUCGGAUUGUAAAGCUCUUUCAACGGGGAAGAUGAUGACGGUACCCGUAGAAGAAGCCCCGGCUAACUUCGUGCCAGCAGCCGCGGUAAUACGAAGGGGGCUAGCGUUGUUCGGAAUUACUGGGCGUAAAGGGCGUGUAGGCGGUGCGAUCAGUCAGAGGUGAAAGCCCCGGGCUCAACCUGGGAAUUGCCUUUGAUACUGUCACACUAGAGUUCGGGAGAGGGUAGUGGAAUUCCCAGUGUAGAGGUGAAAUUCGUAGAUAUUGGGAAGAACACCGGUGGCGAAGGCGGCUACCUGGACCGAUACUGACGCUGAGGCGCGAAAGCGUGGGGAGCAAACAGG